rnacentral:rRNA from 1 species
GCUUACGGCCACACUGCCUUGUUCACGCCCCGAUCUCGUUUGUUCUCGGAAGCUAAGAUAGGUUGGGCCUGGUUAGUACUUGGAUGGGGACGGCGCCUGGGAAUACCAGGUGCUGUAAGCU